rnacentral:rRNA from 1 species
CGUGCGAGAAAGUUCCCUUCGGGGGAUGAGUACAGCGGCGAACUGGUGAGUAACAGGUGGGUAACGUGCCCUGAAGUGGGGGAUAACUCCGAGAAAUCGAAGCUAAUACCGCAUGUGGACGCUUAGGCUGCGGUCUUAAUGUCUAAAGAAUUUAUUCGCUUCAGGAUCGGCCCGCCCCAGAUUAGCUUGUUGGUGAGGUAACGGCUCACCAAGGCUCCGAUCUGUAGCUGGUCUGAGAGGAUGGUCAGCCACACUGGGACUGAGAUACGGCCCAGACUCCUACGGGGGGCAGCAGUCUAGAGGCUUCGGCAAUGGGGGCAACCCUGACCGAGCGACGCCGCGUGCGGGAUGAAGGGGUUAUCUCUGUAAACCGCUGUGUAGGGGGAAGAAUGCCCGUAUGGUGAAUACGGGAGUGACGGUACCCCUACAGAAAGCCCCGGCUAACUCCGUGCCAGCAGCCGCGGUAAUACGGAGGGGGCUAGCGUUGUUCGGAUUUACUGGGCGUAAAGGGAGCGUAGGCGGUUGGGCAAGUCCGGUGUGAAAGCUUUACCACUCAACGGAAAGAGGUCACCGGAAACUGCUCGACUAGAGUA